AUUGAACGCUGGCGGCAGGCCUAACACAUGCAAGUCGAACGAGUGGCGGACGGGUGAGUAAUGUCUGGGAAACUGCCCGAUGGAGGGGAAUAACUACUGGAAACGGUAGCUAAUACCGCAUACCAUCGGAUGUGCCCAGAUGGGAUUAGCUAGUUGGUGGGGUAACGGCUCACCUAGGCGACGAUCCCUAGCUGGUUUGAGAGGAUGACCAGCCACACUGGAACGGAGACACGGUCCAGACUACUACGAGAGGCAGCAGUGGGGAAUAUUGCACAAUGGGCGCAAGCCUGAUGCAGCCAUGCCGCGUGAAUGAAGAAGGCCUUCGGGUUGUAAAGUACUUUCAGAGAGUAGGCGUUACUCGCAGAAGAAGCACCGGCUAACUCCGUGCCAGCAGCCGCGGUAAUUC
rnacentral:rRNA from 1 species